ensembl:lncRNA
UUGGUUGGAUUCGAGUAUAUAUUAAAACUUGAGAUUUAGCAAAUACAUGUCAAAUGAGAUACAUCACAUAACUGCAGUACACUGAAACCUAGUUAUAGCUCCUACUCCUGGUGUUUGAAUUCAGCCUAUGCUGCUCUCUUUUACUCAUUGAAUUUGGAACAAGAAGCUGAUGUCUAAUACAUUUUUAGGGGAAAAAGAAAGGAAAAGUUGCAACAGUUGUAAAAUGUGAAAACAUGCAUGCACAUCAGGUAGGAACUUUUGUACCCUGACUGUGGAAUCUGAUAUAUUUUUCCCUUUCAAAACCGUAGAUAAUUCUGAACAACUCUUAUAUGAAAUUGUCAUACUUAAAAACAGUUGAUCCUAGCACUUUAAUCAGUCUCUGUUCCCCAUGAGAAAUCUGACUUUGCUUGCCUCUAGCACUCUUGCUCUCUCACAGCUCUUAGCAAGAAGACAGAGAACAGCUGGAGUCCUAGGUGAAAGCUGAUACAGGUUAAAACACUGAAGUCAGCUUACAGAUUCCCCCUCACUUAAUGUGAGAGACCAUACUAUGUCCUUGAAAACAUGGAAGAAGCUGUGACAUUGUGGCUUACAGUUGUUAACAAUGAAUUCUGUAUCAGUAAUGUUUUGCAAACUAUGGUUGUUGCAUACUAGAACAAAGAGAAGGAUGCAGGAAAAAAAAUAUUCAAAUGACAAUGAAGUAAAUCUUGUCGAAUGGUGUGACAUUUGCAAAGUAUUUGAUUUCCUGAAAAGGAGCUUGUAUUAGGGUAAAAUGCACAAUAUUUAUAGGAAGAAUCUCAAGUUCCAGUUCCUUUGACUGUGUUAUCCAGCAUGGCACCAUUGGUUUGAUUUUCUGUUCUGCAAUAACGUGCUCACCUUGCUGUGAAUCUUCUGAAAGCCUUUAAUACUCUUUACCUCAGGUGUAGAUGAGAUACUGUUAUUUCCUACUAGGUCAGGGAAAGCAGCUGUCUAUUUCUGUCCAUUCUCUGGAUUUGUGAUUAGAAGCUGUGAUAGUUAUAUGUUGUUGCAUACCCUUGGUACUAAUGGUGGUCACUCUGAGCCAGAAGCAAGCCACCAUAGCCUCAUGUAGAGGAAUUGUGGGUCAUAUAAAUUGGCUGAGAUUCAGCAGAUAACUGAAUUCAUGCCCUCAUCUGAUUAAAGCAUUGAUGUCUUAUCUCUUUGUUACAUAGAAUAGUACUCUUAGGUGAACAAGUGCCCAAGGGAUGGUCUGUAGUUCUCUCAAAAAAAUGUGCCCAGUGUUGGUGUGAAAUGCACUGUUCAUUUAAAUUGGGCUUUUUCUAUCCUGCAGUCUCUUCACCACUGCAUUAGUCAGUCUUCUUUUUUUUUCUUUUUUUUUUUGGGGGGGGGGGGAAGGAGGGGGUGAGCAUGGUUAAGGCAGUUCUGACUUUUAUCAUAUGGGCUGUAGACUUGUAUCCUGAAUUUCUUCAACAUUGUGAAUGAGAGUCCCCUGAGUUGUCACAUUAGAGAAUUUUGUUAAUUAUUUUUAGACUUUGAUUAACUUAUCUCUUUGAAAAGUUCCUUAGCUCUUGAAACCACUUAGCUCGGUUAUUCCCAAUUACUCCUAUUACCAACUUGCUCCAGAACUUAAUUCCUCGGAAGGCUACAAAUCUUCUAAUUACAGCCUAAACGUAUUUCAUUAUACACACUUAUUCUUGUGUCACCAUUGACCUUCAGUAUAAACAGGUUUCAUCUGACCCUGAGGUAUUUGUAGGCAAUUUUUAAGCUGUGUUGAACGAGGGCAUGGAAGAAUGAUAUUCUGCAAAUCCUUUUCAAUAACCUGUUAUUGCAGGGGGAUUUGAUGGCUUGUGGUCCUUCACGCUUGUAUUGUGGGCAGUGAUUUCACCUGUUAAUGCCUUCAUUGAGUUGAUGAAUUCAUUAAACCUGGUAGUUUCAUAUGCCUUUCCUACAGUUCCAGGAAAAGAAAUACCAUUGUAUAUUACAGAACGGUUCAGGUUGGAAGGGACCUCAGGAAGUGUAUCUCUAGGUUGACUUCCUACUCAAAACAAGGUCAGCUGUGAGAUCAAAUGAGAUUGCUUAGGGCUUUAAUCAGUCAGGUCUUGAAAACACCCAGGGAUGCAGAAGCAUAGUCUGUGCAACCUGCUCCAAUGUUUCUGUCCUCUUGUGGGUGUGGGGAGGCUGCUGCUUGGUCCCUCUGAAGCUGUAUCUUCUUCAGGCUGAAUGCUGACUUCAUUCUAGUUUGUUGAUGUCUUCAUUAUAUUGGGAAAAUGAAAAAUUUGUGGUAUACUAAAUGUGAUCUAACAAGUAAAGGGGGCUGGUCUAGCCUGUGGUACUGUUAGAGCAUACUGCUGGCUUGUGUUCAGCUCACAGUUUGCUAAAACCCUCUGAUCUUCUCCCACCGAACUGCUCCUCGGCCAGUCAGUUCCCAGCCUGUAUCACUGCAAGGGUUUUUUCCCUUCUAAAGUGCUGGACUUCACAUUUGUCCUUGUUGAACUUCAUGAGAUUCCUGUCAGCACAUUCCUCUAGCCUGUCUAGAUCCAUCAGAAUGGUAACCCUGCCAUUAAGCAUACCAAUUUAUUUCUCCUCCAGUUUGAUGUCAUCUGUGACCUUUGUGAAUAAGUACUACAUUGCCUCCUUCAGGAAACUGAUAAAGAUUUUAAGCAGGACAUACCCGCAAGUAGAACCCUUUGGCACUUCAGUUGUUAUUGGCCUGCUGUCAGAAUAUGCCCUAUUAACCACAACCCUCCAAAUCUGACCUUCCCAUGAGGUUAUUACUUAUUUGAUUAUUCAUCCAUCCGGAAGGUAAUGUUCUAAUUUGGAUACAGAAAGAUGUUAGGAGAGAAUGUCAAUAUGCUUGCUGAAGUCAAGGUAAAUGAGAUCUUUUGCUCUUCCUUCCUAUACACAUCCAUGCAUUUACUCAUGGAAGACAAACUGUUUGGUCAGGCAUGGCUUGCCUUUCUUCAGUUCAUAGUGAUUGCCUCCAUUCAGCACCUUCUCUGUGCACUCAGAAAUGUGUUCCAGGAACCUUUGCUCCAUGACUUCCCUGGAGUCUGAAGUGAGACUAACCAUAUUUUUGACACCUUUUUAAAAUGUGUUCAAUUUUUGCCUUUUUUUUUUUCUCUCCAGUCAUUGAGGAUCUCUGCCAGUCUCUAUAAACUCAAAAAAUGUUAGGCAGCCUUACAAGGGCCUUGCAAUCAUUUCUUGGCAUCCUAGGGCACAGCGUUUUGGGUUCCAUAGAACUCUCUAAGUGUCUCGUUCCUUCAAGCAAUUCCUGACUCAGUCUUUAGCCACUGUUGCUGAUUUGUUUUCUGUUUAGACUCUUUUUCUAAGCACAGAAGCUUCAGAGAUGUUUCUGAUGAAGACAGGAUCAGAAAUCAUUAAGUAUCUCAGACUUAUCUGUGUCUCUAGUUAUUAAAUUUUCUAUCCCAUUCAGCAGUGGUCACAAAUUUUCCUUGUUAAGUGCUUCUAAUGUUAAUGCAUUUGUGACCUUUUCGGUUGGGUUUUUUGUUGUUGUUGUUUUUUACUUAAUCUUACAACCUCUAAUUAACAUGAAGUAUAUAUUUAGAAAGACACUCUAAAUUGGUGUCCUUUUCUAUUCAGGUUUUAAAGGAAGACAAAACUAGAGAUGUAGUAAAUGUUUCAGUGUGGAAAAGAUGAAUUCUGCUCUGUCUUUUGCAUAUUCCUGUUCUAUAACUAGUGAAAUAGAGACAUGAUCUUAAAGUUUUUCUGUACAAUUUAACUUGUGAGCAGAUGUUCAGAAAGACUUCAGAAAAUAUAAUUAUUAAGACAAGUUAAAUCUUAGAUUUUCUUUCUUCCAUCAAAAUCUUCAAAAAAAGAUUUUAUUUGUGCCUAUUCUAUAAAAAGAAAAAGAGGAAAGAGAAUUAAGGGUUUAGCUUGAAUUAGCUGGAAACUUGACUUUCACAAAUAAAUCCAGCCUUGGUCUAGUUUAAAGAAAGGAUCAAGUCCUACAUGGUUGUGAGAAAUCAGGAAACAGAAAUGUGUAAACAACUGCAUAAAAGUUUUAAAGAAAAAAAAAUAACAUUUCUGCAAAAUUGGCAUAGUUAUAGUGAAAUGUUAAGUGAAAAUCCUAAAUUGCUUCAUCUUUUGUUUUUUGUAGUGAUAUGUGUAUCCUAGAGGUUUUUUUUGAAUGUCUCCAAAAACACAAUUCAGUUCUUCUAAAGUAGUGGUGAUGAGUUCUAAUUGCUUUUAAAUUACUUGUUUAGCCCAAGAAAGUUGGGGCUCACCAACAUAUGGAACAGAAAUAAAAUGUUAACCACAUGUCUGAGAUGCUGGACGACUACCUGGGAGAAAUGAAAAACUGCAGAGCUCAACUAAUAGCGAUUGUCAACAGAGGCAGCGGUUUCCAGGCUCUGUUUUUUGUUGUUGUUGUUGUUGUUUGCUUGUUUGUUUGCUUGCUUGCUUUUGACAUCUUUGAUUUUUCUUGAGGUUCUGGGGUCUGCGACUUCCUGGGAAUCCUCCAAGGAUCAGGAAGGUGGCAGCUGCUGCUAGACACUGAUACUACCAGAAAAAGAGAACAUGGAUAUGAUCCAAGAGCUGUUGAAGAGCAUCUCUUCUUGGCUUCAGAGGCAUGUUUGAUCAGGCCCCUGUAGAGAG